rnacentral:lncRNA from 1 species
GCUGAAGAAUCCUCAUCUGAGGUAGAGGUGAACAUGAACAAUGUUUGCUUAGUGCAGACUCAUUGAGAAGGGUGGGGGCUGCAGCUCAGCCUCUGGCCAUGGUGAGAGCAAAGCCCUUGGACAUGGUGGAGUGAUUGCUGCUCUUCCCUAGCUCACCACACUGCUGUGAGCUCAGAGUCAUUGGGCAUUUGUGAAAUUCAGACUGCACAGAGCUUCUUGCAGGGGUGCUUCACAGGAGGCUGCACGUGAGCAGCUACACCACACUUGCAUGUUUGAAGCAGCCUUUCCAAGCAGCUUGGAACCAGGGAGACUUUUGCUGAUCCAAUCUAUUGGAAGGAGAAGAAUUGCCCUUCGGCAUAGCACCAGCUACAGAAACUUGAGAAUACAGAAAGUGAAUGGGCUCCUCAUUCCAUGCAGGUUUGCAGCAUACAGAGUAAUUUCUUCAAUGCAAAAGAACUUCCAACUCACUCUGCAAGUUUAAGGUCCCAGAAACAAUGACACACGUGGACAGAUACCCCUUAAACAGAGCCUACAUGGAGAAAUUAAAUUUUUGUGGGUGGCUGCCCCACUCUGAUAAUUGUGGCACUUUUCCCAUUCAGUAGCACCAUCUUUAGGAGGCUCAGGAAAAUACCACUCUUGUAAUUACAGCAUAUCAGUCCCUGUGGUGAGAAGCAACAGAGGACCUACUUCCAGUGAGAAGAUUCAUCCAGAGAAAAGUGACCUGACUGCUCUGUCCUGGGUUUCCCCAGAACUGCUGCGGGGACUCACGACAGAAAUUCCUCUGGUGCUUUGCAUUCCUGCAGGGCUCCUGGGUUUGUGUCUCUGGGGUUGCAGUGUUGGUGGCAGAUCUGGCUGGCAGAUGGGGCAUCUGGGUUGUAUCAAAAAACUU